rnacentral:rRNA from 1 species
UACAGAGGUCUCAAGCGUUGUUCGGAUUCAUUGGGCGUAAAGGGUGCGUAGGUGGCGCGCUAAGUCAGGUGUGAAAUCUCGGGGCUUAACUCCGAAACUGCAUUUGAUACUAUAGGUCUUGGAUUCGGUCGAGGUUGGCGGAAUGUGUCGUGUAGCGGUGAAAUGCUUAGAUAUGACACAGAACACCGAUUGCGAAGGCAGCUAGCUAGACCGACAUUGACGCUGAGGCACGAAAGCGUGGGGAUCAAACAGG